GCUUGCGUCGGGGAUUAGUGGCGAACGGGUGAGUAACACGUGAGUUAACCUGCCCUUAACUCUGGGAUAAGCCUUGGAAACGGGGUCUAAUACUGGAUAUUGACUUUACCUCGCAUGGGGUUUGGUUGAAAGAUUUAUUGGUUUUGGAUGGACUCGCGGCCUAUCAGCUUGUUGGUGAGGUAAUGGCUCACCAAGGCGACGACGGGUAGCCGGCCUGAGAGGGUGACCGGCCACACUGGGACUGAGACACGGCCCAGACUCCUACGGGAGGCAGCAGUGGGGAAUAUUGCACAAUGGGCGAAAGCCUGAUGCAGCGACGCCGCGUGAGGGAUGACGGCCUUCGGGUUGUAAACCUCUUUCAGUAGGGAACAAGGCCAGCAUUUUUGUUGGUUGAGGGUACUUGCAGAAGAAGCGCCGGCUAACUACGUGCCAGCAGCCGCGGUAAUACGUAGGGCGCAAGCGUUAUCCGGAAUUAUUGGGCGUAAAGAGCUCGUAGGCGGUUUGUCGCGUCUGCCGUGAAAGUCCGGGGCUCAACCCCGGAUCUGCGGUGGGUACGGGCAGACUAGAGUGAUGUAGGGGAGACUGGAAUUCCUGGUGUAGCGGUGAAAUGCGCAGAUAUCAGGAGGAACACCGAUGGCGAAGGCAGGUCUCUGGGCAUUAACUGACGCUGAGGAGCGAAAGCAUGGGGAGCGAACAGGAUUAGAUACCCUGGUAGUCCAUGCCGUAAACGUUGGGCACUAGGUGUGGGGGACAUUCCACGUUUUCCGCGCCGUAGCUAACGCAUUAAGUGCCCCGCCUGGGGAGUACGGCCGCAAGGCUAAAACUCAAAGGAAUUGACGGGGGCCCGCACAAGCGGCGGAGCAUGCGGAUUAAUUCGAUGCAACGCGAAGAACCUUACCAAGGCUUGACAUGAACCGGUAAUACCUGGAAACAGGUGCCCCGCUUGCGGUCGGUUUACAGGUGGUGCAUGGUUGUCGUCAGCUCGUGUCGUGAGAUGUUGGGUUAAGUCCCGCAACGAGCGCAACCCUCGUUCUAUGUUGCCAGCACGUAAUGGUGGGGACUCAUAGGAGACUGCCGGGGUCAACUCGGAGGAAGGUGAGGACGACGUCAAAUCAUCAUGCCCCUUAUGUCUUGGGCUUCACGCAUGCUACAAUGGCCGGUACAAUGGGUUGCGAUACUGUGAGGUGGAGCUAAUCCCAAAAAGCCGGUCUCAGUUCGGAUUGGGGUCUGCAACUCGACCCCAUGAAGUCGGAGUCGCUAGUAAUCGCAGAUCAGCAACGCUGCGGUGAAUACGUUCCCGGGCCUUGUACACACCGCCCGUCAAGUCACGAAAGUUGGUAACACCUAGAAGCCGGUG
rnacentral:rRNA from 1 species